ACCAUGCUUUAUGAAAUUAACAAAAAAUACACUAAUUAUAAUAAUAAUCAAAAGGGGCUAGGGUUAAAUCAUUUGUGACCUUUGGGCUUAUCUGAACGACAUCCUCUUUCUCUCAAGCGAAUUCUGCGGCGGCGGAGGCUCCAUCUCCGAUCGAGAACAAGUCGCGAGCGCCGAUUGACCUUUCUCUCCUCGUCUCUUGCGAUUUCAUCUUCUUCUUUGUGUUGUUGUUCGCAGCACCGUUUGCGGUGAAGAUUGACGAUGCAUCGGUGUUGUGAAGAUGAGCGAUUGAGAAUUGGCGUCGAGGAGACGAGGGAAGUGAGAUUUGGCUUUGAAGAUUUAGAUGCGAAAUAAGCUCAAUGAAAGAAGAGCUUCUUCAGUUGAAGACGAUGAUGACGUCGAAGCGUGACUGAAGAUUGAAGAUUAUUGAUACUUGUUGAUGUUGUGCUUGAAUGGAAGGAGGCCUCGAAGAUGAAGAAGGUAUGAGAUGCUGAAAGGUUGCAGUGUUUCUUUUGGUUGAAGGUCUGAAGAAGAUGGAAGAAGGUUGAUGAUUGAGAGAGGGAAGGAUUCUGAGAUUUGAAGAUUGAUGAAGAUGAAAUGGUGAAGAAGGUUAGAGAAAGAGAUCAAGAAUGAAGAUAGAGUGAGGAUGAUGAAGAGUGAAGAGUUAUGAGGUGGCAGCAAUGGAAAACAGAGUGAAAACCUGAAGAAUGAUGGAGGUCCUUGGUUAUAUAGAGAUGAUGGAUCUUGAUUCUCUGAAGGGCAGCUGAACUGUUAUGGCUUAACUUGAAUGCAAGCGAUGAACUUUGG